rnacentral:rRNA from 1 species
GAUGAACGCUGGCGGCGUGCCUAAUACAUGCAAGUCGAGCGAACGGACGAGAAGCUUGCUUCUCUGAUGUUAGCGGCGGACGGGUGAGUAACACGUGGAUAACCUACCUAUAAGACUGGGAUAACUUCGGGAAACCGGAGCUAAUACCGGAUAAUAUUUUGAACCGCAUGGUUCAAAAGUGAAAGACGGUCUUGCUGUCACUUAUAGAUGGAUCCGCGCUGCAUUAGCUAGUUGGUAAGGUAACGGCUUACCAAGGCAACGAUGCAUAGCCGACCUGAGAGGGUGAUCGGCCACACUGGAACUGAGACACGGUCCAGACUCCUACGGGAGGCAGCAGUAGGGAAUCUUCCGCAAUGGGCGAAAGCCUGACGGAGCAACGCCGCGUGAGUGAUGAAGGUCUUCGGAUCGUAAAACUCUGUUAUUAGGGAAGAACAUAUGUGUAAGUAACUGUGCUCAUCUUGACGGUACCUAAUCAGAAAGCCACGGCUAGCUACGUG